rnacentral:rRNA from 1 species
AGCAGCCGCGGUAAUUCCAGCUCCAAUAGCGUAUAUUAAAGUUGUUGCAGUUAAAAAGCUCGUAGUUGAAUUUCGGGAUCAAUACGUCGGUCGUGCUUCGGUACGUACUGGCGUAAUUGAUUUCUCCCUUCUGAAGAACCGCGAUGUCAUUAAUUUGGUGUCGUGGGGAAUCAGGACUGUUACUUUGAAAAAAUUAGAGUGUUUAAAGCAGGCGCACGCUUGAAUACAUUAGCAUGGAAUAAUGAAAUAGGACGUUUGAUUCUAUUUUGUUGGUUUCUAGGAUCGACGUAAUGAUUAAUAGGGAUAGUUGGGGGCAUUAGUAUUCAAUUGUCAGAGGUGAAAUUCUUGGAUUUUUAAA